GACGAACGCUGGCGGCGUGCUUAAUACAUGCAAGUCGAACGGAAAGGCCCUGCUUUUGUUGGUUGCUCGAGUGGCGAACGGGUGAGUAACACGUGUGUAACCUGCCCUUGUCUGUGUGAUAACUCCAGGAGACUGGGGCUCAUACCCGGUAUGAUCUCCUGCUGCAUGUUGGUGGUUGGAAAAUUUCGGCGUUUCUGGAUGGACUCGCGGCUUAUCCGCUUGUUUGUCGGGUAGUUGCUUACCAAGGUUUUGACGGGUAGCCUGCCUGAGAGGGUGACCGGCGACAAUGGGACUACGAGAGGGAGCAGAAUCGUACGGGAGGCAGCAGUGGGGAAUAUUGCAGAAUGGGCGGAAGCCAGAUAUGGAAAUGCUGCGUGCGGGAUGAUGGCCUUCGGGUUAUAAACCGAUUUGGAAUGUACCGAGGCGGGAGUGACGGUAAUGGGUAAAGAAGCAACGGCUAACUACGUG
rnacentral:rRNA from 1 species